rnacentral:rRNA from 1 species
CCCCUGGACGAAGACUGACGCUCAGGUACGAAAGCGUGGGGAGCAAACAGGAUUAGAUACCCUGGUAGUCCACGCUGUAAACGAUGUCGAUUUGAAGGUUGUGGCUUUGAGCCCUGGCUUUCGGAGCUAACGCGUUAAAUCGACCGCCUGGGGAGUACGGCCGCAAGGUUAAAACUCAAAUGAAUUGACGGGGGCCCGCACAAGCGGUGGAGCAUGUGGUUUAAUUCGAUGCAACGCGAAAAACCUUACCUACUCUUGACAUCCAGAGAACUUGGCAGAGAUGCCUUGGUGCCUUCGGGAACUCUGAGACAGGUGCUGCAUGGCUGUCGUCAGCUCGUGUUGUGAAAUGUUGGGUUAAGUCCCGCAACGAGCGCAACCCUUAUCCUUUGUUGCCAGCGACUUGGUCGGGAACUCAAAGGAGACUGCCGGUGAUAAA